GACGAACGCUGGCGGCGCGCCUAACACAUGCAAGUCGAACGGAGCUUUGAGAGCUUGCUUUUAAAGCUUAGUGGCGAACGGGUGAGUAACGCGUGAGUAACCUGCCCUGGAGUGGGGGAGUAACAGUUAGAAAUAGACUGCUAAUACCGCAUAAGCACACAGUACCGCAUGGUACAGAGUGAAAACUACCGGUGGUAUGAGAUGGACCCGCGUCUGAUUAGCUGGUUGGCGGGGUAACGGCCCACCAAGGCGACGAUCAGUAGCCGACCUGAGAGGGUGACCGGCCACAUUGGGACUGAGACACGGCCCAA
rnacentral:rRNA from 1 species